UCCACAACCCUUUCCAAAUAUACAUGUGAAAACCUUUUUCAUUAAAAGCAAGUUAUAGGUUGUGUUAGUCUCUCCGCCACAACCACCCCUUCUCGCAGUAGUCGUCAAUUGCUCUAGGUGACCAUGGAAUCAACCACCCACACACCCCCUAACGCAUGGUGAUCACAAUACACCGGCCAUAAAUUGUAGAGGAUCGAGAUACCGACUUCACCAAUCAGUACUUCCCUGACACCUUGAGAUAAACAAUGGAAACAUCUACACUUUUGAUAUAGUUGCUAGUAAUCACAAUAAGCAGUUAUACAUAAGGAAAGGAUCAAGAACCUAUACUAUGGGUUACUCUCUAUAACCUCAAGGUGUCGUGGCUGAACUACUCACACCUUGACAUCAUGAACAAAACUAAACUAUGAACAAAACAGAAAAUAAAAAAGAGAACUUUAUUGGAUGAAUGCAAGUGUUUAAAGCUUAAAUUGAUGCCUUUUACAAAGGGGAGAGGGGCUAUAUAUAUAUAUAUAUAUA
rnacentral:lncRNA from 1 species